rnacentral:lncRNA from 1 species
UGAAGAUUAAAAUUAACUCUCCCAUGAUAGUGAAGAUUAAAAUUGUAACCCCUGCCUAUUUUCAGAUUUUAAUCACCAAAAUUAUACACACCCUACUUAAAACUUGAGUAUGAGAUCUGCCCAUUUUUAGAUCUAAUCACCUAAACAUCCCUCUUAAUCAUUAAGUGGGAGGCCUGUGACCCACGUGUGGGAUAGUGAGUGAUAAAUCAGAAUCGACUGACUGCCUUGUGGGCAGUCCUAAAACAGGGCUUCAACUGUGAUUGGUAGACGUAGAAUUAGGGGAAGGCACAGGAAGUGAUGUAAGAGAAAGUGUCUUUAAAAGGGAAUAACAACUUCCUGAGUGAGUUCUAAUGGUAGUUCUUCAUUUUUUUAAUGGCAGUUCUUCAUUUUUUUAAGUGGAGGCUGAUGAAGAAUGUGCUGACUGGACCUGAGACUCCGUUUCCUGAAACACAAUGUCAAGGACGGUCCAAGCGGAUCCUAGAGGCGUUCCUCCACUCUGCAGGGUUUAUCAUGCCAACUAGAUGCCAAGCUCCCCCCCCCCUUCCUUCUUUUCCUGAAGGUGAAGAGUAUUUCGCCUCUUGGCUUCCUGUCCUCUCAAGAUGCUCGCAUAGCAUCAGUAUGCAGGUAAGAAACUGAAGCAAACUGGGCUAAGUGACUUGCGCAGGGUCACAAAAAUAACAUGAACUCUGAACAGGGAUCUCAAGAAAUGAAUGUUCCCACUCUUAGGACUCCCCAUCUGAGACUGAGUUGGAGAGUUCCAAGUUUCCUGAGUCAAAUCUAAGUGUUCAAAAGAACUUUCUGCUCUGACAGGACUUCUUCCAGGAGAAGCAGCAUUACCAUUACAGCUGAAAUGACUAAAAAGUCCCCAAGUCAUGCCUGGCUGGCCAGAAGGUGGACUUUGUAACUUUCUCUGGCAAACAGAUAGAAAAGAAAUGUGAAACAAAUAGCUUUAACACUCUCACAGAGUUCCUUUGUUUUUUAGGAAGAUUAAAAUGAAGGCAAUGUGUUAUU